rnacentral:rRNA from 1 species
CGGCGUGCUUGUGACCACAAGAUCCCUCUAAUGCCAGGGGCGCAGCCUUUUAACAUCCGACCCUACAGGCACAAACCAGAGCACAAGGAUGAAAUAGAGAAGCAAGUUGAAGAACUCCUCCGCACGGGCAUUAUUCAGCGGAGCUCGAGUCCCUUCUCUUCUCCGGUGAUCCUAGUAAAGAAGAAAGACGGCACAUGGAGGUUAUGUGUGGAUUACCGUCGCUUGAAUGCUCUCACAUGUGUGGCUAAGUUUCCAAUACCAAUCAUCGAAGAGCUGCUUGACGAGUUACACGGUGCUCAAUGGUUCUCGAAGCUGGACCUCCGUGCUGGGUACCACCAAAUCAGGUUGGCAGAAGGGGAAGAGUACAAAACAACGUUUCAAACUCAUUCAGGGCACUUUGAAUUUCUGGUAGUCUCAUUUGGCCUCGCAGGCGGUCCAGCCACUUUCAAU